rnacentral:lncRNA from 1 species
UCACUAUUAUUAAAAAAUAAUUUAAACUUCAAAAGCCUUUAAAAUAAUUAUAAAUAAAUUGAUAAUAUAUAAAAUAAUGCAUAUCGUAUUGAAUAUACGAUCAAUAUAUAAGAGAUUAAUUACAAUAUAAAAGAAAAAAAAAAUCUAUUAGCAACUUCUUUCACUUAUACUAAAUGAUUUUGAAUUUGAAUCUUAUUAAUAUAUAAUCUCAUUGUCAUUAAUAACUUUUAGAGCAUAAAAAUUUUAUUCUGAUCUUAGAAAUUCAAUUUCCUUUUAAAAAACAAAAAUAAGAUGUCGUGAACAAAUCUUUUUCUCUAUCUUAAAUUAAUCAACACUUGCCCAAAUCAAAGUAUGCCAGACUGUGACUUGAUGUUACUUUAUUACUAUCUAAUAGAGAAAAUAUUACUUUUUAAAAUGCAUUUUUCAAAAGCCACUUGCAUAUAUGAUUGUAACCUCUCGAAUUCUUAUUUUAUUAAACCUUAAUAUGCAUACUUGAGUUCCCUUGCAACUUGUAUUUUGGAAUUUAGCAUAUUAAAGCAUUUAUUUUGCCAAUAGUAAACUCCAACCUCAACUUGUAUAACUAAUAAAGAUACCCAAAUUUUCGAUGCUCAAUUUGGAUACUAAUUCUUUAGUUUGAUGAAACACAAUUUGCCCAUAUGUUCAGUUCAAGUUGUAGCAUGAAACGUUUUUUAGUAUUAAUUAAAAGAAGUUUCUUUUUGGUUAUAGGUGAGGUCAGGUCCAGGAUUUGUCUUAAUCUAAUUUUUUAGACAUGUUAAGGUAAAAUUUUAUAAUUAAAAUAAUAUUUAAAAUUACGAUACAAUUACAAUAUAGUAUGUAAAUUUUUUCUUUAAUUAAUAAAAGUUUUUUUUUUUUAAUAUAGAUAGAAUGAAUGCAAAAUUCUUUCUCUUCUAACAAGAUGGUAUUAAAGACAUAUUUCCUUACAUCAAUUUAAAGCAUUAAAGAUUUUAUUUUUUUAUACAAAAAGUCAUAUUUGAAGAUACAAAAAAUUUGUAUGUAUUAAAAUUUAAAUUUUAUAAUUAUUAUAUGCUAAUUAACUAAAUUAAAUAUCGAAUUCAGAGCAUUCAAGAUUUUAUUUUUAAAAUAUUCUCACAAAAAUCAAUUCCUAAUUAAUAAAUAAAAAAAAACUUUUUUCAACUAAUAUGUGGAGAUAUAUGUUUAAAAAAGUUGCAAAUUUGCCAUCAGUGGACUUAAUAUGAACUAUAUAUAAAUAUUAAUUUAUUGCUCAUUGUUUUACUUAUUUUAUUGUUUUAAUAUUGGACUUUCUUUUAAUGUAUUUAUUGUUUUAUGAAAAAAUAAUUAAUAAUAGUAGGUUAAUUAAUAUAUAUUUGAAACCUAACUGUAAAAGAACAAAAAUAUACAGUUGUACUCACAAGAGAAAAAGAAACUCUUCUAGAAAAAAAAAAUGUGUUAUCCAAUUAAUAUUUUCAGAAUCAGAAUCAAAUUGCAAGAAUAUAUCAAAGGAAUAUGUAAUAUCCCUUUGAAAAUCCCAUUGGAUCACACAUGAAUGUUGGCUACCAAAUUGCCACUGGCCCCUCCCCACCAGCCACUUGUCUCACUCUCUUUCAAGUUUAAAUCAUGUUCUAGAUUUUUUUUUCCUUAAUUUUCAAAUCAGAAAUAACAACCUCUUUAAAUAGUUUCAACUUUUAUUUCCUUGAUUUAUUUUUAAAAUAAAAGAAAAACACAUUAGAAUUUUAAGUACUCUUGCAUUACAGUAAAAAACUUAGUCUCAUUUUCUUUGUUAUUUUUUAUAUUUCAAAAUUAU